GACGAACGCUGGCGGCGUGCUUAACACAUGCAAGUCGAACGGAAAGGCCCUGCUUUUGUUGGGUGCUCGAGUGGCGAACGGGUGAGUAACACGUGAGUAACCUGCCCUUGACUUUGUGAUAACUUCAGGAAACUGGGGCUAAUACCGGAUAGGAGCUCCUGCUGCAUGGUGGGGGUUGGAAAGUUUCGGCGGUUGUGGAUAGACUCGCGGCUUAUCAGCUUGUUGGUGGGGUAGUGGCUUACCAAGGCUUUGACGGGUAGGCGGCCUGAGAGGGUGACCGGCGACAUGGCGACUGAGAUACGGCCCAGACGCGUACGGGAGGCAGCAGUGGGGAAUAUUGCACAAUGGGCGGAAGCCUGAUGCAGCAAUGCCGCGUGCGGGAUGACGUCCUUCGGGUGGUAAACAGCUUUCGCCUGUGACGAAGCGGGAGUGACGGUAAUGGGUAAAGAAGCACCGGCUAACUACGUG
rnacentral:rRNA from 1 species